rnacentral:rRNA from 1 species
AUUGAACGCUGGCGGCAGGCUUAACACAUGCAAGUCGAGCGAGCGGCGGACGGGUGAGUAAUGUCUGGGAAACUGCCUGAUGGAGGGGGAUAACUACUGGAAACGGUAGCUAAUACCGCAUACCAUCAGAUGUGCCCAGAUGGGAUUAGCUAGUAGGUGGGGUAAUGGCUCACCUAGGCGACGAUCCCUAGCUGGUCUGAGAGGAUGACCAGCCACACUGGAACGGGGACGCGGUCCAGACUCCGACGGGAGGCAGCAGUAGGGAAUAUUGCACAAGGGGCGCAAGCGUGAUGCAGACAUGCCGAGUGUGUGAAGAAGGCCUUGGGGGUGUAAAGCACUUUAAGCGAGGAGGCGUUACUAGCAGAAGAAGCACAGGCUAACUCCGUGCCAACAGCCGCGGUAAUA